UACGGAAGGCAGCAGUGGGGAAUAUUGCACAAUGGGCGCAAGCCUGAUGCAGCCAUGCCGCGUGUAUGAAGAAGGCCUUCGGGUUGUAAAGUACUUUCAGUCGUGAGGAAGGUGUUAAGGUUAAUAACCUUAGCAAUUGACGUUAGCGACAGAAGAAGCACCGGCUAACUCCGUGCCAGCAGCCGCGGUAAUACGGAGGGUGCGAGCGUUAAUCGGAAUUACUGGGCGUUAAAGGGCACGCAGGCGGUUAAUUAAGUUGGAUGUGAAAUCCCCGGGCUUAACCUGGGAAUGGCAUUCAAGACUGGUUAGCUAGAGUCUUGUAGAGGGGGUAGAAUUCCAUGUGUAGCGGUGAAAUGCGUAGAGAUGUGGAGGAAUACCGGUGGCGAAGGCGGCCCCUGGACAAAGACUGACGCUCAUGUGCGAAAGCGUGGGGAGCAAACAGGAUUAGAUACC
rnacentral:rRNA from 1 species